UCCAGAAGCUGUACUCCCUGGAGCUGCUCAGCCCCUGAAGCCAUGUCAGGGUCAUAGAUACCCCUGGAUCUCAAUCCACAAAUCCAGGUUGUCUCAGGUGUGCUGCUGGCAUAAAGGGGUGAGGAUUGCCGUGAGGAUUGCCAUUCCAUUGACAGGACUUCAAAAUCAGGUGAGGCAAGGGGAAGCCCAGAGCUGCAGAGGUGGGACACUGAGCUGCCAGGAGGAAGAGAGGCUCUGCAGUGGAACACCCCUGAGGACUUCAGAAAAGGGCUCUGAGUUUGAGUUCUGCCUCUGCCACUAACUAGCUAUGUGCCCUUGGGGAAACAACACCUCUAGGAGCUUCAGUUUUCAAUUUAUAAGAAUUCCAAAAGUACCUCUCCCACUCCAGUUCCCAACACUCUGGAUUCUGAUGAAUAAAGUCUCCUUCUUUAAGGGAUCAUGAGGCAGGUGCUCCCUUCAUCAAAGAGCCCUGGCAAAAUGGCA